AGUGAACGCUGGCGGCAGGCCUAACACAUGCAAGUCGAACGGAAGCAUAGUAAGCGCUCGCCCCUACCGGUGGCGACUGGCGGAUGAGUGACAAAUACAUCGCAUUCCUCUUAUUCUUGGGUGACAACGUAGGGACACAUACGCUACCACAGCAUAUGUCCUACGGCUGAGAUCAGGAGAUCUUCGGACUUUUGCUGUCUCAUUUAGCUGGAUCCGUGUCGGAUUAGCUAGUUGGUAAGGUAACGGCUCACCAAGGCGACGAUGCGUAGCUGAUCUGAGAGGAUGAUCGGCCACACUGGAACUGAGACACGGUCCAGACUCCUACGGGAGGCAGCAGUGGGGAAUAUUGGACAAUGGGCGAAAGCCUGAUGCAGCCAUGCCGCGUGAGUGAAGAAGGCCUUCGGGUUGUAAAGCCCUGUUGUUGGGAAAGAAAAGCAGUAGGUUAAUACCCCGCUGUUCUGACGGUACCCAAAGAAUAAGCACCGGCUAACUUCGUG
rnacentral:rRNA from 1 species